CAGCCGCGGUAAUACGUAGGGCGCGAGCGUUGUCCGGAUUUAUUGGGCGUAAAGAGCUCGUAGGCGGCUCAUUGCGUCAACCGUGAAAACCAGCAGCUCAACUGUUGGCUUGCGGUUGAUACGGGUGGGCUGGAGUUCGGUAGGGGAGACUGGAAUUCCUGGUGUAGCGGUGAAAUGCGCAGAUAUCAGGAGGAACACCGGUGGCGAAGGCGGGUCUCUGGGCCGAUACUGACGCUGAGGAGCGAAAGCGUGGGGAGCGAACAGGAUUAGAUACCCUGGUAGUCCACGCUGUAAACGUUGGGCGCUAGGUGUGGGGGGCCUCUCCGGUUUCCUGCGCCGUAGCUAACGCAUUAA
rnacentral:rRNA from 1 species